rnacentral:rRNA from 1 species
UCUUUUAAAAGACCUAGUUAAAUAGGUAUGCUUUAGGAGGGGCUUGCGCCAUAUUAGUUAGUUGGUAGGGUAAUGGCCUACCAAGACGAUGAUGUGUAGCUGGACUGAGAGGUUGAACAGCCACAUUGGGACUGAGACACGGCCCAAACUCCUACGGGAGGCAGCAGUAGGGAAUUUUCGGCAAUGGAGGAAACUCUGACCGAGCAACGCCGCGUGAAUGACGAAGUACUUCGGUAUGUAAAGUUCUUUUAUCGAGGAAGAAAAGCAAAUGGCGAACCAUUUGUUUGCCGGUACUUGAUGAAUAAGCCCCGGCUAAUUAUGUGCCAGCAGCCGCGGUAAGACAUAAGGGGCAAGUGUUAUCCGGAAUUAUUGGGCGUAAAGGGUGCGUAGGCGGUCUAGUAAGUCAGUGGUGUAAUGUCAACGCUUAACGUUGUCCGGCUAUUGAAACUGCUAAACUUGAGUUAGAUAGAGGCGAGUGGAAUUCCAUGUGUAGCGGUAAAAUGCGUAAAUAUAUGGAGGAACACCAGAGGCGUAGGCGGCUCGCUGGGUCUUAACUGACGCUGAGGCACGAAAGCGUGGGGAGCAAACAGGAUUAGAUACCCUGGUAGUCCACGCCGUAAACGAUGAGUACUAAGUGUCGGGUUAAACCGGUACUGAAGUUAACACAUUAAGUACUCCGCCUGAGUAGUACGUACGCAAGUAUGAAACUUAAAGGAAUUGACGGGACUCCGCACAAGCGGUGGAUCAUGUUGUUUAAUUCGAAGAUACCCGAAAAACCUUACCAGGUCUUGACAUGUUUUUGCAAAAUGAUAGUAAUAUCGUGGAGGUUACCAGAAACACAGGUGGUGCAUGGUUGUCGUCAGCUCGUGUCGUGAGAUGUUAGGUUAAGUCCUAAAACGAGCGAAACCCUUAUCGUUAGUUGCCAGCACGUUAUGGUGGGGACUUUAACGAGACUGCCAAUGAUAAAUUGGAGGAAGGUGAGGAUCACGUCAAAUCAGCAUGCCCCUUAUGACCUGGGCUACAAACGUGAUACAAUGGCUGUUACAAAGGGUAGCUGAAACGCAAGUUCUUGGCCAAUCCCCAAAAACAGUCCCAGUCCGGAUUGAAGUCUGCAACUCGACUUCAUGAAGUUGGAAUCGCUAGUAAUCGCGAAUCAGCAUGUCGCGGUGAAUACGUUC